rnacentral:rRNA from 1 species
AUUGAACGCUGGCGGUAUGCUUAACACAUGCAAGUCGAACGGUAGCAGGCCUUCGGGCGCUGACGAGUGGCGGACGGGUGAGUAACGCGUAGGAAUCUGCCUCAUAGUGGGGGACAACGUGGGGAAACUCACGCUAAUACCGCAUACGCCCUACGGGGGAAAGCGGGGGCUCUUCGGACCUCGCGCUAUGAGAUGAGCCUGCGUUAGAUUAGCUGGUUGGUAGGGUAAAAGCCGACCAAGGCGACGAUCUAUAGCGGGCCUGAGAGGACGAUCAGCCACACUGGGACUGAGACACGGCCCAGACUCCUGCGGGAGGCAGCAGUGGGGAAUAUUGGACAAUGGGCGCAAGCCUGAUCCAGCAAUACCGCGUGUGUGAAGAAGGCCCUAGGGUUGUAAAGCACUUUCAAUUGGGAGGAAAACCUGCCGGUCAAUACCCGGCAGCUUGACAUUACCUUUAGAGGAAGCACCGGCUAACUCCGUGCCAGCAGCCGCCGCCGUAA